AGUGAACGCUGGCGGUAGGCCUAACACAUGCCAGUCGAACGGCAGCACAGUAAGAGCUUGCUCUUACGGGUGGCGAGUGGCGGACGGGUGAGGAAUACAUCGGAAUCUACUUUUUCGUGGGGGAUAACGUAGGGAAACUUACGCUAAUACCGCAUACGACCUACGGGUGAAAGCAGGGGAUCUUCGGACCUUGCGCGAUUGAAUGAGCCGAUGUCGGAUUAGCUAGUUGGCGGGGUAAAGGCCCACCAAGGCGACGAUCCGUAGCUGGUCUGAGAGGAUGAUCAGCCACACUGGAACUGAGACACGGUCCAGACUCCUACGGGAGGCAGCAGUGGGGAAUAUUGGACAAUGGGCGCAAGCCUGAUCCAGCCAUACCGCGUGGGUGAAGAAGGCCUUCGGGUUGUAAAGCCCUUUUGUUGGGAAAGAAAAGCAGCAGGUUAAUACCCCGCUGUUCUGACGGUACCGAAAGAAUAAGCACCGGCUAACUUCGUG
rnacentral:rRNA from 1 species